GACGAACGCUGGCGGCGUGCCUAAUACAUGCAAGUAGAACGCUGAAGGAGGAGCUUGCUCUUCUGGAUGAGUUGCGAACGGGUGAGUAACGCGUAGGUAACCUGGCUGGUAGCGGGGGAUAACUAUUGGAAACGAUAGCUAAUACCGCAUAACAGUAGAUGUUGCAUGACAUUUACUUAAAAGGUGCAAUUGCAUCACUACCAGAUGGACCUGCGUUGUAUUAGCUAGUUGGUGGGGUAACGGCUCACCAAGGCGACGAUACAUAGCCGACCUGAGAGGGUGAUCGGCCACACUGGGACUGAGACACGGCCCAGACUCCUACGGGAGGCAGCAGUAGGGAAUCUUCGGCAAUAGACGGAAGUCUGACCGAGCAACGCCGCGUGAGUGAAGAAGGUUUUCGGAUCGUAAAGCUCUGUUGUAAGAGAAGAACGAGUGUGAGAGUGGAAAGUUCACACUGUGACGGUAUCUUACCAGAAAGGGACGGCUAACUACGUG
rnacentral:rRNA from 1 species